rnacentral:rRNA from 1 species
GUAUAAGAGACAGCAGCAGCCACGGUAAUACAGAGGGUGCGAGCGUUAAUCGGAUUUACUGGGCGUAAAGCGUGCGUAGGUGGCUUCUUAAGUCGGAUGUGAAAUCCCUGAGCUUAACUUAGGAAUUGCAUUCGAUACUGGGAAGCUAGAGUAUGGGAGAGGAUGGUAGAAUUCCAGGUGUAGCGGUGAAAUGCGUAGAGAUCUGGAGGAAUACCGAUGGCGAAGGCAGCCAUCUGGCCUAAUACUGACGCUGAGGUACGAAAGCAUGGGGAGCAAACAGGAUUAGAUACCCGAGUAGUCCCUGUCUCUUAUAC